rnacentral:rRNA from 1 species
AGCAGUCGCCGCGGGAAUACGGAGGGUGCAAGCGUUAAUCGGAAUUACUGGGCGUAAAGCGCACGCAGGCGGUCUGUCAAGUCGGAUGUGAAAUCCCCGGGCUCAACCUGGGAACUGCAUCCGAAACUGGCAGGCUAGAGUCUUGUAGAGGGGGGUAGAAUUCCAGGUGUAGCGGUGAAAUGCGUAGAGAUCUGGAGGAAUACCGGUGGCGAAGGCGGCCCCCUGGACAAAGACUGACGCUCAGGUGCGAAAGCGUGGGGAGCAAACAGGAUUAGAGACCCCAGUAGUCCCUGUCUCUUAUAC